GAUGAACGCUGGCGGCGUGCCUAAUACAUGCAAGUCGAGCGAAAAGACGAGGAGCUUGCUCCUCUGACGUUAGCGGCGGACGGGUGAGUAACACGUGGAUAACCUACCUAUAAGACUGGGAUAACUUCGGGAAACCGGAGCUAAUACCGGAUAAUAUAUUGAACCGCAUGGUUCAAUAGUGAAAGACGGUUUUGCUGUCACUUAUAGAUGGAUCCGCGCCGCAUUAGCUAGUUGGUAAGGUAACGGCUUACCAAGGCAACGAUGCGUAGCAGACCUGAGAGGAUGAUCGGCCACACUGGAACUGAGACACGGUCCAGACUCCUACGGGAGGCAGCAGUAGGGAAUAUUCCACAAUGGGCGAAAGCCUGACGGAGCAAUGCCGCGUGGGUGAUGAAGGUCUUCGGAUCGUAAAACACUGUUAUUAGGGAAGAACAAAUGCAUGAGUAACUAUGCCCGUCUUGACGGUACCUAAUCAGAAAGCCACGGCUAACUACGUG
rnacentral:rRNA from 1 species